rnacentral:rRNA from 1 species
CAGUCGCCGCGGGAAUACGUAGGUGGCAAGCGUUGUCCGGAAUUAUUGGGCGUAAAGGGCUCGCAGGCGGUUUCUUAAGUCUGAUGUGAAAGCCCCCGGCUCAACCGGGGAGGGUCAUUGGAAACUGAGAAACUUGAGUGCAGAAGAGGAGAGUGGAAUUCCACGUGUAGCGGUGAAAUGCGUAGAGAUGUGGAGGAACACCAGUGGCGAAGGCGACUCUCUGGUCUGUAACUGACGCUGAGGAGCGAAAGCGUGGGGAGCGAACAGGAUUAGAUACCCCCGUAGUCCCUGUCUCUUAUAC